GGAUGUGAGGGCGAUCUGGCUGCAACAUCUGUCCCCUCAUGAAUCGCCAUGGUUGAUUUGGCUGAUCUGGAUGGCGAGGCAGGUGUUCCCUUCCUCCCUCACCACUCCGUAUGCAUCCCUCCCAAAGCUGUGCGCUUGGUCGAAGAGGACAACCAUCCCCGAUAGAGGAGGGCCGUUCUUCGGUCAAGGGUAUAUGAGUAGCUGCGCUCCCCUGCUAGAACCUCCAAACAAGCUGUCAAGGUCCAUUGUAGAAUACAGGGUAGUUGGGACCAGCAGGUGACAUGAUGGCU
rnacentral:snRNA from 1 species